rnacentral:rRNA from 1 species
CCAGACUCCUACGGGAGGCAGCAGUGGGGAAUUUUGGACAAUGGGCGAAAGCCUGAUCCAGCAAUGCCGCGUGUGUAAUGAAGGCCUUCGGGUUGUAAAGCACUUUUGGCGGGAACGAAAAGGACUGUGCCAAUACCACGGUUCGAUGACGGUACCCGCAGAAUAAGCACCGGCUAACUACGUGCCAGCAGCCGCGGUAAUACGUAGGGUGCAAGCGUUAAUCGGAAUUACUGGGCGUAAAGAGUGCGCAGGCGGUUUUGCAAGACCGAUGUGAAAUCCCCGGGCUUAACCUGGGAACUGCAUUGGUGACUGCAAGGCUAGAGUGUGUCAGAGGGAGGUGGAAUUCCGCAUGUAGCAGUGAAAUGCGUAGAUAUGCGGAGGAACACCGAUGGCGAAGGUAGCCUCCUGGGAUAACACUGACGCUCAUGCACGAAAGCGUGGGGAGCAAACAGGAUUAGAUACCCUGGUAGUCCACGCCCUAAACGAUGUCUACUAGUUGUCGGGGAUUAAUUUCCUUGGUAACGCAGCUAACGCGUGAAGUAGACCGCCUGGGGAGUACGGUCGCAAGAUUAAAACUCAAAGGAAUUGACGGGGCCCGCACAAG